rnacentral:rRNA from 1 species
GACGAACGCUGGCGGCGUGCUUAACACAUGCAAGUCGAACGGGGUGUUUAUUUCGGUAAACACCAAGUGGCGAACGGGUGAGUAACGCGUAAGCAAUCUACCUUCAAGAUGGGGACAACACUUCGAAAGGGGUGCUAAUACCGAAUGAAUGUAAGAGUAUCGCAUGAGACACUUACUAAAGGAGGCCUCUGACAUAAGCUUCCGCUUGAAGAUGAGCUUGCGUCUGAUUAGCUAGUUGGUGAGGGUAAAGGCCCACCAAGGCGACGAUCAGUAGCCGGUCUGAGAGGAUGAACGGCCACAUUGGGACUGAGACACGGCCCAGACUCCUACGGGAGGCAGCAGUGGGGAAUCUUCCGCAAUGGGCGAAAGCCUGACGGAGCAACGCCGCGUGAACGAUGAAGGUCUUAGGAUCGUAAAGUUCUGUUGUUAGGGACGAAGGGUAAGAAUCAUAAUACGGUUUUUAUUUGACGGUACCUAACGAGGAAGCCACGGCUAACUACGUGCCAGCAGCCGCGGUAAUACGUAGGCGGCAAGCGUUGUCCGGAAUUAUUGGGCGUAAAGGGAGCGCAGGCGGGAAACUAAGCGGAUCUUAAAAGUGCGGGGCUCAACCCCGUGAGGGGGUCCGAACUGGUUUUCUUGAGUGCAGGAGAGGAAAGCGGAAUUCCCAGUGUAGCGGUGAAAUGCGUAGAUAUUGGGAAGAACACCAGUGGCGAAGGCGGCUUUCUGGACUGUAACUGACGCUGAGGCUCGAAAGCUAGGGUAGCGAACGGGAUUAGAUACCCCGGUAGUCCUAGCCGUAAACGAUGGAUACUAGGUGUGGGAGGUAUCGACCCCUUCCGUGCCGGAGUUAACGCAAUAAGUAUCCCGCCUGGGGAGUACGGCCGCAAGGUUGAAACUCAA